rnacentral:rRNA from 1 species
AGUGAACGCUGGCGGCAGGCCUAACACAUGCAAGUCGAACGGCAGCACAAGAGAGCUUGCUCUCUGGGUGGCGAGUGGCGGACGGGUGAGGAAUGCAUCGGAAUCUGCCCAUUUGUGGGGGAUAACCUCGGGAAACCGGGACUAAUACCGCAUACGACCUACGGGUGAAAGCAGGGGAUCUUCGGACCUUGCGCAGAUGGAUGAGCCGAUGCCGGAUUAGCUAGUUGGAGGGGUAAAGGCCCACCAAGGCGACGAUCCGUAGCUGGUCUGAGAGGAUGAUCAGCCACACUGGGACUGAGACACGGCCCAGACUCCUACGGGAGGCAGCAGUGGGGAAUAUUGGACAAUGGGCGCAAGCCUGAUCCAGCCAUGCCGCGUGUGUGAAGAAGGCCUUCGGGCUGUAAAGCACUUUUGUUGGGAAAGAAAAGCAGCCGGUUAAUACCCGGUUGUCAUGACGGUACCCAAAGAAUAAGCACCGGCUAACUUCGUG